CGGCGUGCCUAAUACAUGCAAGUCGAACGCACUCUCGUUUAGAUUGAAGGAGCUUGCUCCUGAUUGAUAAACAUUUGAGUGAGUGGCGGACGGGUGAGUAACACGUGGGUAACCUGCCCUAAAGUGGGGGAUAACAUUUGGAAACAGAUGCUAAUACCGCAUAAAACCUAACACCGCAUGGUGUAGGUUGAAAGAUGGUUUCGGCUAUCACUUUAGGAUGGACCCGCGGUGCAUUAGUUAGUUGGUGAGGUAAAGGCUCACCAAGACCGUGAUGCAUAGCCGACCUGAGAGGGUAAUCGGCCACACUGGGACUGAGACACGGCCCAGACUCCUACGGGAGGCAGCAGUAGGGAAUCUUCCACAAUGGACGAAAGUCUGAUGGAGCAACGCCGCGUGAGUGAAGAAGGUUUUCGGAUCGUAAAACUCUGUUGUUGGAGAAGAAUGUAUCUGAUAGUAACUGAUCAGGUAGUGACGGUAUCCAACCAGAAAGCCACGGCUAACUACGUG
rnacentral:rRNA from 1 species